UACAGAGGUGGCAAGCGUUUGUUCGGAAUUACUGGGCGUAAAGGGCGAGUAGGUGGCCAUCUAAGUCAGACGUGAAAUCCCCCGGCUUAACCUGGGAACUGCGUCUGAUACUGGACGGCUUGAGUAUGGGAGAGGGAUGCGGAAUUCCAGGUGUAGCGGUGAAAUGCGUAGAUAUCUGGAGGAACACCGGUGGCGAAGGCGGCAUCCCUGGACCGGCAUUGACGCUGAGGCGC
rnacentral:rRNA from 1 species